rnacentral:rRNA from 1 species
UGGGGAAUAUUGCACAAUGGGCGCAAGCCUGAUGCAGCCAUGCCGCGUGUGUGAAGAAGGCCUUCGGGUUGUAAAGCACUUUCAGCGGGGAGGAAGGCGAUAAGGUUAAUAACCUUGUCGAUUGACGUUACCCGCAGAAGAAGCACCGGCUAACUCCGUGCCAGCAGCCGCGGUAAUACGGAGGGUGCAAGCGUUAAUCGGAAUUACUGGGCGUAAAGCGCACGCAGGUGGUCUGUCAAGUCGGAUGUGAAAUCCCCGGGCUCAACCUGGGAACUGCAUUCGAAACUGGCAGGCUAGAGUCUUGUAGAGGGGGGUAGAAUUCCAGGUGUAGCGGUGAAAUGCGUAGAGAUCUGGAGGAAUACCGGUGGCGAAGGCGGACCCCUGGACAAAGACUGACGCUCAGGUGCGAAAGCGUGGGGAGCAAACAGG